rnacentral:tRNA from 1 species
GGAGGGGUGCCAGAGUGGACGAUUGGGCACGCCUGGAGAGCGUGUGUACCUCCGGGUACCGUGGGUUCGAAUCCCACCCCCUCCGCCA